UUUCAAAGACAAUUGGAAAAAAUAUUGAAUUAAAAAGGCAAGACAGAUAACAGAAAGGGAACUGGCAUUUAUUGGCCACGACCAGGGACUAGGCCAGGCACUUAAAUAUGUGAUCAUAUUUAACCCCCACAAUUUGCUCUUGUUGCCAGUUAUGCCCAUUGUGUGUGCAAGCACCUGAAAAUUUCAGUGUCCACCACCACAGAUCAAAUGCUACAUUCACUGUGGAAGAAACAGGAUGGUGCACGAGGAAAGCUAAAGGAGAUCAGAAUUUCAAACAGCCAAGGAGAUUAUUGAGGAGGAAAAGGCAUAGGCAGAGGCCUGGAUUGUCACCAUGUCUGUAUUCUUUGAGCAGAGUCUCUGGUGUUUUUGCUAAAACGAGAAUGAGAAUAUAGCUGUACGUCAUCAUGACCCACUGAGUUAGACUUACAACUAGUCUUACAUGAGGAUGAUUGUUACCUGGGAAGUACAACUGUCACUUCUGAAUGAAGGCUAUAUCAAAUGAAAAGGCAAACUAGAAAAGGUAAGGCAAUGCAGUCCUAGAGAGUGACCUUUCAGAAUUUCCCCAACGCUUCACCAUCUACAUAAAAUUUAAAUACAUCUUCAUGGCUUUACUUAAGCUAGAAAGACACAACAUAUAAGAAAUUUGUACUUGGACUUCUCAAUACUUACAACAGCUCAGGGUCCAUUCAGAUUACUAAACAUAACCUGAAUCCAUUGCCACAUAAAAAAUCUUUCUUAGCAUUUCAAGCAUUUGAUUUGAUCACAUUUUAAUGGCUAUUGCCAGUGAAUUACUACAAACAGGCUCAUAUCUGAGAUACACAUUUCCCCAAUUCAGAGGUUUAAAACAAAGUUUUCUGAAUAAUGAUUAUGAUUUUAUAACUCUUUAAAUUUCCCAAACGGCCCUAUCUAUUGUCUAAUUCACGUGAGAUAAAUGGCAAAGGAGAGAGGAAAAACAAGGGAAAUUUCAUAAGUCUAUAAAUAUGUAAUUUUACAGCUUCUGAAAGAGCUUACUAUUUAUUUUCAAUACUCACCAAAUUACAUGCUCAUGAUAGAAAUUUCUAUUUCAUAAAAGAAUGUGAUAAAAAUUGAUGAUGUAAACUAGACCCAUCUGUCAAGUAACGUGGCAUUCACAAUGGCCUCAGGGCAAAGCAGCUGCAAGACGUGCAUCCCCUCUAACGUGUACACAUAGAGGACAUUCAUUAAGCUGCGUGAAACCUACCAUUGAGAUGAAUGAAAACUGGCGCUAGACUGCAUAAACGACACAUAUAUUAAGUUAAAAGGUAAAUUUUCUGACUCGUGGUCUGGAUAUUAGGGCCGUGGAGGAAAACGAGCUAUCAUAUGCCUCUUAAAUUACCUUGCAGUGAAACAAGAUAAGGAGGUGACCAAGGGAUGUGUCCUCUACUUAGCGCCAUUAGUUCCCGUGGUGGGAAUGCCCAUGCUUCUGGCUUCCCCUGUGUUUCCUCAGUGGCAGUAGGACAACUCAGGGGUUAAGCACACAAGUCAGACAGACUCAAAGAAUGGAGCUGAUGCUCAACAAUGAGAUGUGAGACUUAACCCUCAGCUGCCAUUUCCUCAGUGAAAUUGGGACAACAUUGCGUGAGGAAUACUGGAAAACUGCCCAACAAGUAUUUGGCAGGGCACUCAGAACACACUGCUACCAGGCUGCCCUGAGGGCCUCGGCAGGAAACAUAAACGGGGAGCCUAUAUCCUCUAUACAAAAGUGUGUCUUCCUGAGAGUGACGUUUCCUGAAAAUACAUUGCCAAGGAAAGCGGCUAGGAGUUAGGAAGGAAAAAAAAACUAUGGAGUGCUUUUAGAUGUGCGUCCCCCAAAAUGCUCUUUACAACUCGGAAUUAGAUACCAUUUUCCCCAUUUUAUUUUCUAGAUGAGAAAAGAGAGUUUCAAACAAAGGUUCCAGUUAGUUAAAAACGGCCAACGCGUAAGUCAAAUUGAGGAUUGCCACAUUCUA
ensembl:lncRNA